AUGACGUACGAUGGAGUAGCAUAUGAGGUGCGCCUCAAGACCCGGUGGUGUCAGUGCGAGAGACCUCACAAGUGUCAUUGGCCUUGCUCGCACGUGAUGACCGCCGCAAGGUUCAAAAACUUGAAAGUAUCCGAUGGUACCACCUUGCGGUUGCAUGAGUUCACAUUGGAACGAACGAGGUUGACAUGGGCUCCUAGGUUUCAUCCCUUCCUAGAUCAGUCAAAGUGGCCUGAGUAUGAUGGGCCACACAUCGUCCCCGACCCUGAACUCAUGGUGCCUACAAAGGGAAGAAGAAGAAAGAAGAGGUUUAGGGGUGACAUGGAUGACCUAGCUGGAUACACCAGAAUGAAACAAUUUGGUAGCGGCCAUUUCAUGGAGGCACCGGACAUCAAUAGUUGUGGUAAAUGUGACGAGCCGGGACACAAUGUUAGGAAAUGCACCAAAAAGUCACGGAUCGAUGCCAACACUCCGGAUCCCACUAGUCAAAGUGAUGCCCGAAGAGGAGUUACCGGUGGCACAUGA
rnacentral:rRNA from 1 species